GAUUCCACCCAAGCAAGGAGUCUCGUGCUCUGUCCUGCAGGCACAUGGACAAAGGAAUUGGACUCUAGGACUGAUCACCUCAGGAGCUGCUGAGGAUGUUGUCCAGCCUGGACCCAAACCUGCUGCUGCUGAAGCCAGUGGGAUUUUUAACCCAGUGCUGGUGCAGCUACAUAAAUCUAAGCACCCGUGGUUAGUGCUGAGCUGCAGGACCAACAUCUAGUGAGAGAUGAACUCAGAGAGAGGAGGAAAAACAAUUCCAAAGCAGUCAAGAUCUUAAUCCGAGCCGUGAAAAGAUGGAAGAAGUUUCCAAACAGCCACAUAGCUGCAAAGUGUUCUGCCACAGACAUGGCUUUGACCUCCAGCUCUCACCCCAGGACACACCAUCUGCUGAGGGGUUUGAGGUGCUUCUCCCAGCCAGGAUGAAGCAGCCUGUCCCAGUGCUUGGAGCAGGGCAGGGCUCGCCCUCAGGGACACAGACUUUGUACAGGUCCUUUUAACACCAAAACUCUGGAAUUAGGUAAAAAAUCUCACCCUGGGAUUUUUGGAUAUGAGCCUAAACCCCAAACCCCACAUGGUUGCAUUGUGCCUAAUUACAGCCUGUCUAAAAUGUUAAUAGGUCCCAGCAAUGCAAUAUUCAUACUAGAGUAUUAUUAUAUUGCACCUACUUUGCAGUUAAUGUAGUUGGGCAAAAAGGCUCAAUAAUAGGAAACCAGCCUGCUGUUGGGUUGAGUUUUCUUGGCUUAUUGAUUGAGUUUUUAAGUUUAAUGUGAGGAGACUGUUCUAUAGUACAAAGUGUAUUUUAAGCAUCUAUUUAUUAAAGCUGAAUUGUGCUAGAGCUCCUGUGCAAAAAUACACCUGACAGCUAAAUGAAUAGCAAAUUAUUUCCCCGCGUCUGUGCUAUUGUCUAGUGUUUCUGUGCAGCUGGUUCCUGCAUGUACCGCAGGUUAAAAGAAUCCUCAACCUUCUAUUUAAUACAACAAAUUUUGUCAGAUGUUGUUAUUAUUUUUGCUGGAUGUCAUAGCCGUGUGUAAUGUAUGCAUAAGAAACCUCCCUGACUCCUUGAGCAGUCUAAAUCAGGUGGAAACAGGCUGCAGGAGUGAGGAGAAAUGGAGCAUGGGGGCUUUUAUUUAAUCUGGUUCAAACAGGCCGUAAUUAGAGGCAUUAAAAUGCUGGUGAAUCCAGUAAAACAUUAUUCACUAUCACUAAGGAUUCUGGCUAUUUCCUCUACAGAGUGGGGAGCAGGAGCUGGAUGGCAGUGUGAUGGCAGGAUGCUCUUGACAGAGCAGGGGCUUGGAAUGCUGCACAGUGUCCAUGA